UUGCAAUAUGAAAUAGAAGCUCGGCACAAACGCACCGUGGGACAGCUGGGCACGUGGGUGGCAACCUUGGGACCCCUAACACCAGCUCCCGCUGGGACGGAACAGGGAAGGCUGUGCUUUGGAGCCGCCAGCCCAGUUCGGUGUCCUCACUCUCUCUCGCUCUCCUCCCUCUCUCUAUAUAAUAUAUAAUAUAUGUUUCUCUCUCUCCAUUCUCUCUAUUUGACUCUCUGUAUCUUUAUUCUAGGAGGCAACGCUCCAAAACUUCUCUUCUCAGUGCAAAUGGGGGUGGGUUGGGCCUGUCUCCCUGGCACCAGCCUCCUGGGGGUCCAGAGGAGAGAAUGUGGGGGUGUCAGGGUGAUGAGGGCAAUGGGGGCCAUCGUGGGACCCGCCCUGCCCCCACCCCGGGAGAUCCACGGG
rnacentral:lncRNA from 1 species